rnacentral:rRNA from 1 species
GGAAUCUUCCACAAUGGACGAAAGUCUGAUGGAGCAACACCGCGUGAGUGAAGAAGGGUUUCGGCUCGUAAAAGCUCUGUUAGUUAAAGAAGAACACGUAUGAGAGUAACUGUUCAUACGUUGACGGUAUUUAACCAGAAAGUCACGGCUAACUACGCGCCAG